AGUGAACGCUGGCGGUAGGCCUAACACAUGCAAGUCGAACGGCAGCACAGUAAGAGCUUGCUAUUACGGGUGGAGAGUGGCGGACGGGUGAGGAAUACAUCGGAAUCUACUUUUUCGUGGGGGAUAACGUAGGGAAACUUACGCUAAUACCGCAUACGACCUACGGGUGAAAGCAGGGGAUCUUCGGACCUUGCGCGAUUGAAUGAGCCGAUGUCGGAUUAGCUAGUUGGCGGGGUAAAGGCCCACCAAGGCGACGAUCCGUAGCUGGUCUGAGAGGAUGAUCAGCCACACUGGAACUGAGACACGGUCCAGACUCCUACGGGAGGCAGCAGUGGGGAAUAUUGGACAAUGGGCGCAAGCCUGAUCCAGCCAUACCGCGUGGGUGAAGAAGGCCUUCGGGUUGUAAAGCCCUUUUGUUGGGAAAGAAAAGCAGCAGGUUAAUACCCCGCUGUUCUGACGGUACCCAAAGAAUAAGCACCGGCUAACUUCGUG
rnacentral:rRNA from 1 species